ensembl:snRNA U6 U6 spliceosomal RNA
GUGCUCGCUAUGGUGGCACAUAUACUAAAAUUGGAUCGAUACAGAGACGAUUAGCAUGGCCCCUGCGCAAAGGA